rnacentral:rRNA from 1 species
GACGAACGCUGGCGGCGUGCUUAACACAUGCAAGUCGAACGGAAAGGCCCUGCUUUUGUGGGGUGCUCGAGUGGCGAACGGGUGAGUAACACGUGAGUAACCUGCCCUUGACUUUGGGAUAACUUCAGGAAACUGGGGCUAAUACCGGAUAGGAGCUCCUGCUGCAUGGUGGGGGUUGGAAAGUUUCGGCGUUUGGGGCUGGACUCGCGGCUUAUCAGCUUGUUGGUGUGGUAGUGGCUUACCAAGGCUUUGACGGGUAGCCGGCCUGGGCGGGUGAACGGCGACCAUGGGACUGAGAUACGGCGCAGUAUGCUACGGGCGGCAGCAGUGGGGAGCAUUGCACAACGGGGGGAAGCCUGAUGCAGCAACGCCGCGUGCGUGAUGACGGCCUUCUGGUUGUAAACCGCUGUCGCCUGUAACGUACCGUGAGUGACGGUAAUGAGUAAAGAAGCACCGGCUAACUACGUG